rnacentral:miRNA from 1 species
AAACAUAGAGAAGUUUGACUU